GCCUUGCUUCCCGACUAAACCUUUGAAACUGUAAGCAAGCCACCACAAUGAAAUGUUUUCCUUUUUAAGAGUUGCCAUGGUCAUGGUGCCUCUUCAUAGCAAUAGAAGCCCUAACUAGGACAUGUUACCUGAGUACUUAACUCGAUUCACAUGUUUCUGGCAGCACAGGGAGCCUUUGGCACAGAGCGGGUGCUUAAUAAGGAUUUGCCAACUAAGUAAAGGCAUGAAAGGACUGGAGGCAGCAGGUAAGGAUUCACUCUUCCUGAAUCACUAAGAGCUUCCCCCUGCAUCAGGAUCCUUCAUGGUUAAUGAUGGGCAGAGCUGAUUCUUGUUUCAGAGAACUCCCAUGUAGAUGGAAGUGACUGUAAGAGCCUGCCAGGCCCUCCUACAUGUCCCCACAAGUCAUAUCUGAGAGCAAGAGGCCCCAUCCUGUGCUGUACUGUCCUGUUCUGAUAAAACAUCUGUCUAGAUAAGAGACGUGCAUGUUCUAAUGAGAACCUACAGUGCCUUAAGGAGGGAUAUAACAGUUACUGAGUGCUGACUGUACCAAGCAACAUGCUAGGUGCUUUCCACGAAUACUUUUUUUUUUUUUUAAAAAGACAGUUGUAUAAAAUGGGCAAGUUUCCCAUUAAUGUUAGGGGGAGGAGACUCGGGGCAUUUGGGUAGAUGGCUCACUGAGCAGGCAGCAGAGGCAGGAUUAGAUGGCAGAUUUGUUUGUUUGUCUUUUGUUUUGGUUUUUUGAGACAGGGUUUCUUUGUGUAGUUCUGGCUGUCCUGGAACUCACUCUGUAGACCAGGCUGACCUUGAACUCAUAGAGAUCCACCUGCCUCUGCUUCCAAAGUACUGGGAUUAAAGGUGUGCACCACUAUAUCCAGCUCAGAUAGCAGUUUUAUGGACUUUAAAGGUGGAGGAGGCCGUCCCUGGGUGGCGUGGUUCUCUCUCUUCUGUCUCUCCUUCUCUCCCUCUCACGCAGACGCUUUACUGUGAGUGUCAGCAGAAAUUCCAGUGUUGUCCUGUGGGCUGUCCUCAGGGACUGCAAUUCAAAGGGAGGGGACUCUGGGUUUGUGUGGGAGUGUCCCAUUGGUGUCAUGUAUGUGUGGUGAGUGGAAAAAGACAUUCUGCACUCUUUUAGUGGCUAAGUCAACUCCUGAGAUCUAGGCUGGCCUUGAACUUGUAAUCUUCUUGCCUCACAGACUUCAGAGUGCAGAGAUGACAGAAGUGGAUUCUUGCUUUGAAAUUUUUAUUUCAAAUUUUAACUAGUGCGUAUUACUUGCCUAAUUAUGGUUUUUUUUGUUCUUUUGUUUUUGUUUUUGGUUUUUUUUUUUUGAGACAGGGUUUCUCUGUGUAGUUUUUGGUACCUGUCCUGGAUCUUGUUCUGUAGAUCAGGUUGGCCUCGAACUCACAGAGAUCCGCCUGGCUCUGCCUCCCGAGUGCUGGGAUUAAAGGCAUGUGCCACCACUGUCCAGCCUAAUUACGGUUUUUGUUCUGACAUUUCCACACAUCCACAUGAGCAUGCAUUGGUCCUAUCCAUCCCCAUUGCCCUUUCUCACCACCCUCCUCCCUCUUGCCCCCUCCUACCUCACAUCCAGGGUUUGAGAAACCAGAACUUGUUUUUUGGACUUAGCAGAAUGCUGACAGACUUCUGAGGCUCCAUGUCAGAGAGUGGGUGAUACACUUUCCAGCUCUAAAGUUGCCGGUACCUACAGGAGUGAUCUGAUCCCUCAAAGCUGCCAUGUUAUGAGGAAGCCCAGGCUCCCCACAUGGACUUACCACAGAGGUGGACCCGGGAGCAUCCAUUUCUCAAACUCUCUGUGUUAAGAUGCGCUGUGCCCAGCUGUUUCAAGCUCCUGAGGCCUUGACUUCCCCUGCGUGAUGGACUGUAACCCGGGUCUGUGAGCUGAAGUUAGUCCUUUCUCCCUGGAGUUACUUUUGCCAGAGCAUUUUAUCACAGGAAAAGAGACUAAGGUGUCAUGUUGGAAAGCUCAACCAAACCUCUGAGAUGUCAGCUUUGGCAGGGAACGCUGCAGAAAUCAUGAUGCUUCUCCCCCUUUCGCCUCUCGUGUUGGGAAGCAUGUACCCUUUGUCAUGUCGCUUCUUUCCUGCUUCUGUACGGCGUGUGUUCUCCACCUUAUGAUUUAUGUGUCCUUUGCUGUGAGCUGUUCCACUCACAGAGGGGGGAAGUGGGCAGAGGCCGAACUGAAGAUGGACGAUUAUAAAUCACAAGGAAAUGCCUUCAACGAAACUAUGGGCCGCAGGGACGGGAUGGGAGUGUGUCUGCCCUUCCUUCUCUCAAAGUCUGGCUCUGCCUCUGGCUUGCUGAGCUUGCAUGGAAGCUCCAUGGUGCUUUUCUCUGUGGUGUUGCGGGCAACGGCUCUUUUAAGUUUAGUUAUAUUAUUUACUUAUUGUGCAUGAAUGUGUGUGUGUGGUAUGUGUGGAUGGUGCAUGUGCAUGUGUGUGUGAGGGAUGGUGUGCACCCUCAUGUGCAUGUAUGGAGGCCGGAGGAGGAUGUUGGGUGUCGCACUCUAUCUCUGUCUGCCUUAUUUCCCAGAGACAGGGUCUCUCACCAGACCUGGGGCUAGGCUGGCAGCUGGCAAACCCCAGUGAUCCUCAUCUGGACACCCCUCCCAGUGACAGGGUUUAUAGGUGCAUGUGAGGGCACAUGUAGCCGUUCAGUUAUAUGUACAUGUGCUUGUAUGUCUGUGGGUCUGGGCAUGUAAGUGUGCUUAUGAAGGACGGAAGAGUGCCUGAUGUCCUGGAGCUGGACUUAGAGUUGCUUGUGAGCCAGCUGCUGUGGGCACUGGGGCUGGGACUCUGGUCCUCUGUAGGAGUAGUGUUCUUAACUCUUGAGUCACUUCUCUUGUCCUUAUACCCAGCCUUUUUGUGGGAGCCGAGGAUUCGGGUCCUGAUGCUUGCACACCGCUCACUCUUACUGCCCAUGUCCUUCUCUGUCUUGAAUCCUCCACGCCACCCACACCCUGCUUUGGUCUGGAUUGUCUUCCUGGCCCUUCAGCUCUCAGUGGAUGGCCAGCAGUGCAGAGCACACCACGGGUUUCGCCAAGCUCACUGACUGCCCUGCCUGUGGAGCUGCAGUGAUGACCCUUCGAAGCCAAUACUCACUCUCUUUGUAUCUCACAUGCAAGCCGCUCCUCCCCUCCAAAGAGGGGGUCGUUUUCUCGUCCUCAUGGAACCAGUUCAGGCAGCAUCAAACUCUUGAUCCUCCUGCUUCGGCUUCCUGAGUGCGGGAUUGCAGAUGUGUGCCACCAUGCUUAGAUAUGGAGUGGCCUGGUCUGAACUUUGACAGAGGGCUCCAGAAUCCACCCUAACCACCCUGUCACUUGGCUUCCCGUAGACUCAGUUUUCAUCUCUGUAAAGGGGAUACUAGUGUCCACUUCCCAGAACUGUGAUAGUAGGUAGUUUGACAACGCCUGGCAUGUUGUAGCUUCCAGUAAAUCCCAGCUCACUGGGACAAAAUAGGCAGCGGGGCUGGAUGUGGGAUCACAUGACUGCAGUCUCAGCAUGUGGGAAAACAAGGCAGGUUCAAAGCCAGCCUGAGCUACAUAGGAAGAUCCUGUUGCAUUAAAAACAAAAACAGAAGAAACCUGAUAUGGGCUGAGGAUGUAGCGCUUGCCUAGCAUGUAUGAGGCUCUGGGAUUGAGCCAAUAAAAACAAGAAACAAGUGUAGAGCGGCUAGGGGAAGCUUCGAAGGCUGAACUGCUAGGGCACUGGGGAGCUGCUGAAUGCUUUGGAGUGAGAAAGGAACUAUGUUUAGUUCAGGUCCCACCCUGUCCACUCCCUCCUCAUCACCACGUCCAUCUGCCUGAUACUGCUGUGUGUAUCACACCCUCACACCCUGUAUCUCAGCUCCGGGACUGUUCACAGGAGACCCCUGAUGUGUGUGUGUUGGGGUGGGAGGCAGGGCGGGGGCAGGAUAGCUGAUCUUGGUUGUCCACUUGACUGGAUUUGGAAUCAACUAAGAGAUCUGUUGCCAGUCCAUCUGUGAAGGGUCUUCUCCAGAGGGUUAUUUGAGUAGAGACAUCCACCCUAAAUGCAGCAGCCCAGAUACAGGAGGGAAAUAGCUUUGCUUUUUGUCUCCUUGUCUUUGCAUUUUGCUGCGAGUUUGAUUUUCUCUACCAUGUCACAGCUGUCUGCUCUACAUCUGUUCCCAGCUUCCUCCCACUUCUAAUAUGGGCUGAAUGAGAAGUGGGUUUUGUUUUGUUUUCAGACAGAGUCUCACUGUAUAGCUCUGGCUGGACCAGCGCUCUCUAUGUAGACCAGGCUGGCCUUGAAGCCGCCAAGAUCCACCUGCCCCUGCGCCUGGAGUGCUGGGAUUAAAGACACGUAUCAUAAAAAACCCAGCCCAAUGUAGACUGAAGACCAGCAGCUCUCCAGGAAUUCUCCAAGCCUUCAUCAUCAGUUUGGGACUACUGGGGCACCCAGCCUCAUGAACUGGCCUUUUACUGGCUUCUCAGCCUCUCUCCAGUGUGAAGACAGCCAUUGUUGAACUACUCAGACUGCCAUGGAAGCUGAUCUAAUAAAUCCUCUUUCAAUGUG